rnacentral:lncRNA from 1 species
GGGGGGGCCCGGAGGGCUUCCCGGAGGCGGAGGCCCGCGUUGCUCAGGGGCCAGCUAGAAGAGCUGUGAAAGCGGGUUCGGAAGGCACAGAGACCCCAAGUGAAGUCGGUCGGUCACCCACCUUACAACCACAGCAUCCAAGGGGGCGGCUGCCUAGCCGGCCGUAGGACGCCUUUCCCAGUGUUCCACACGGGCCAGCCAAUCCUCAGACCUGAGAUCGGCACAGUUCGUACUCGAGAGACAGAGAUUACUUAUUCCCCCAAAGUCACUGCCCAAGGAUGGGACUGAGGCUUCUGGUUCCCGCCGUGUGAUGCUUUUCAGGGGUUACUUGGAAAGUCCUCCCGUUCCCCACACCGCCGGGCUGUCAGCAGGGACUGGGGCAGAGUGACAGCUCUAUAAGCAGUAGCCUGCGGCAGCCGGAGGAGGAGCCUCGAUCUUUUGGGGGAACUUCAAUUCUGGCAAACCCGUAUUUCCUGGCACUGAAGUUGAAAUGAUUGACAAGAGCAGCCCGUGAAGCAGAGGUGGUGUUAAUAGAAAGGCCGUCAGAAAAGCUUAGUUUGAUAGUCCUGCCUCAAGACUGUCACACCAAGCGCCAUGGGUGAAGGACC